rnacentral:rRNA from 1 species
AUUGAACGCUGGCGGCAUGCUUUACACAUGCAAGUCGAACGGCAGCACGGGCUUCGGCCUGGUGGCGAGUGGCGAACGGGUGAGUAAUAUAUCGGAACGUACCCAGCAGUGGGGGAUAACGUAGCGAAAGUUACGCUAAUACCGCAUACGAUCUAUGGAUGAAAGCAGGGGACCGCAAGGCCUUGUGCUCCUGGAGCGGCCGAUAUCUGAUUAGCUAGUUGGUGAGGUAAAGGCUCACCAAGGCGACGAUCAGUAGCUGGUCUGAGAGGACGACCAGCCACACUGGAACUGAGACACGGUCCAGACUCCUACGGGAGGCAGCAGUGGGGAAUUUUGGACAAGGGGCGCAAGCCUGAUCCAGCAAUGCCGCGGGAGUGAAGAAGGCCUGCGGGUUGUAAAGCUCUUUUGUAAGGGAAGAAACGGUAGAGGCUAAUAUCCUUUGCUAAUGACGGUACCUGAAGAAUAAGCACCGGCUAACUACGU